GUUGACAUCGAUUCGUUCCAAAUUUACACUCUCGGGGCAUAAUAGAACAAUAUAAUUUGGUUUUACUCUUUGUUCGAUAGAAUAAGAAAAAGUAGUCAUUGCAAUGUUAUACUGUUAGGGCGCCACUGAAUAGUCUAAUAUUGUUCCGGUUUUGGUUCUUGUGAACGUUGACAUCGAUUCGUUCGAAAUUACAACUCUCGGGGCAUAAUUGAACAAUAUAAUUAGGUUUUACUCUUUGUUCGAUAGAAUGAGAAAAAGUACUCGUCGCAAAGUUAUACUGCUAGGGCGCAACUGAGUAGUCUAAUGUUGUUCCGAUUUUGGUUCUUGUGAACGUUGACAUCGAUUCGUUCCAAAUUUACACUCUCGGGGCACAAUUGAACAAUAUAAUUAGGUUUUACUCUUUGUUCGAUAAAAAGAGAAAAAGUACUCGUUGCAAAGUUAUACUGUUAGGGCGCAACAGAGUAGUCUAAUGUUGUUCCGGUUUUCGUUCUUGUGAACGGUGACAUCGAUUCGUUCCAAAUUUACACUCUCGGGNCUGGGAACUUGUUGUACACAAUCUCGUCGUUGUGCCUUGGGCGGACAGGGGAGGUACUGUCCGUACGGCGGUCCGCCGCCGUGCCCGAACCGAACCAAAUUGGUAUCGGCCUCGGGGCGGGGGCGUGACAGAAAAAUUACUAGUUGCAAAGUUAUACUGUUGGGGCGCAACAGAGUAGUCUAUUGUUGUUCCGGUUUUGGUUAUUGUUAAGGUUGACAUCGAUUCGUUUCAAAUUUACACUCUCGAGGCAUAAUAGAACAAUAUAAUUAGGUUUUACUCUUUGUUCGAUAGAAUGAGAAAAAGUACUCAUUGCAAAGUUAUACUGUUAGGGCGCAACCGAAUAGUCUAAUGUUGUUCCGGUUUUGGUUCUUGUGAACGCUGACAUCAAUUGGUUCGAAAUUACAACUCUCGGGGCAUAAUUGAACAAUAUAAAUUAGGUUUUACUCUUUGUUCGAUAGAAUGAGAAAAAGAACUCGUCGCAAAGUUAUACUGCUAGGGGGCAACUGAGUAGUCUAAUAUUGUUCCGGUUUUGGUUCUUGUGAACGUUGACAUCGAUUCGUUCCAAAUUUACACUCUCGGGGCAUAAUAGAACAAUACAAUUAAGUUUUACUCUUUGUUCGAUCGAAUGAGAAAAAGUACUCGUUGCAAAUUUAUAAUAUUAGGGCGCAGCUGAGUAGUCUAAUGUUGUUCCGGUUUUGGUUCUUGUGAAGGUUGACAUCGAUUCGUUCCAAAUUUACACUCUUGGGGCAUAAUAGAACAAUAUAAUUAGCUUUUACACUUUGUUCGAUCGAAUGGGAAAAAAGUACUCGUUACAAAGUUAUACUGUUAGGGCGCAACUGAGUAGUCUAUUGUUAUUCCAGUUUUGGUUCUUGUGAAGGUUGACAUCGAUUCGUUCCAAAUUUACACUCUCGGGGCAUAAUAGAACAAUAAAAUUAGCUUUUACACUUUGUUCGAUUGAAUAAGAAAAAGUACUAGUUGCAAAGUUAUAUUGUUGGGGUGCAACAGAGUAGUCUAUUGUUUUUCCGAUUUUGGUUCUGGUGAAGGUUGAUAUCGAUUCGUUCCAAAUUUACACUCUCGGGGCAUAAUGAAUAAAAUAAAUAGCUUUUACACUUUGUUCGAUUGAAUGAGAAAAAGUACUAGUUGCAAAGUUAUACUGUUGGGGCGCAACAGAGUAGUUUACUGUUGUUCCGAUUUUGGUUCUUGUUAAGGUUGACAUCGAUUCAUUCCAAAUUUACACUCUCGGGGCAUAAUAGAACAAUACAAUUAAGUUUUACUCUUUGUUCGAUCGAAUGAGAAAAAGUACUCGUUGCAAAAUUAUGCUGUUAGGGCGCAACUGAGUAGUCUAGUGUUGUUCCGAUUUUGGUUCUUGUGAAGAUUGACAUCGAUUCGUUCCAAAUUUACACUCUCGGGGCAUAAUAGAACAAUAUAAUUAGCUUUUACACUUUGUUCGAUUGAAUGAGAAAAAGUACUAGUUGCAAAGUUAUACUGUUGGGGCGCAACAGAGUAGUCUAUUGUUGUUCCGGUUUUGGUUCUUGUUAAGGUUGACAUCGAUUCGUUCCAAAUUUACACUCUCGGGGCAUAAUAGAACAAUAUAAUUAGGUUUUACUCUUUGUUCGAUCGAAUGAGAAAAAGUACUCGUUGCAAAGUUAUACUGUUAGGGCGCAACUGAGUAGUCUAAUGUUGUUCCGGUUUUGGUUCUUGUGAACGUUGACAUCGAUUCGUUCGAAUUUACACUCUCGCGGCAUAAUAGAACAAUAUAAUUAGGUUUUACACUUUGUUCGAUAGAAUGAGAAAAAGUACUCGUUGCAAAGUUAUACUGUUAGGGCGCAACUGAGUAGUCUAAUGUUGUUCCGGUUUUGGUUCUUGUGAACGUUGACAUCGAUUCGUUCCAAAUUUACACUCUCGGGGCAUAAUAGAACAAUAUAAUUAGGUUUUACGCUUUGUUCGAUUGAAUGAGAAAAAGUACUCGUUGCAAAGUUAUACUGUUAGGGCGCAACUGAGUAGUCUAAUGUUGUUCCGGUUUUGGUUCUUGUGAACGUUGACAUCGAUUCGUUCCAAAUUUACACUCUCGGGGCAUAAUAGAACAAUAUAAUUAGNNN
rnacentral:lncRNA from 1 species